UUUUUUUUUUUAAUCCAACACCAUCGCAGUGGUGUUUCUAUUGUGUUGGGGGGAAAAAAAGGCUAAGGAAAAUAGUACAAGGCAGUUAAACCGUAUGGAGUAGCUUAUGGCCUGCUAUGCUAUGAUAUUCAAGAUGGCAAAACUCUUAGUUCAUACUCCCUGCAGUGACUGUUUCACGCUUGAGUUUCAAAUAUCGGUGUCUUGGGUAGUUGACGCAACCAGUGAGCUUUGAAAGACUACUGAUUAAGGAUAGGUUCUCCCUUUUGCUAGAUAUGUCCACAGUUGACUAAUACCUAACCAGUUGUUCACUCAUCGUAUGUCUGUUGCAAGUGAUUAACACUUAAUACUGAUGAGAACAAAAGAAUGUAUAUUUUAGACCACUUUUCUAGCUUGUCAUAAUCAUUUUAAAUUUGAAUUUUGCCUUCCAGUAGAUGCAGAGGACCUCCAUCCUACAUGUUGUCUAUUUAUUUCAUUACUUAGGUGGUUGUUAGUGAAAAUAUUGGUGGAAUUGAUCCUAGGACAUAUUUCUGCAGAACAUCCUUACAGCUUUCUGUUUUGACAAUAGAUUUUUUUUUUUUUUUUUUUUGAUAACUGUAGCUACUUCUGCAUUCAUACUGUAAUAGUUUCAUCUAGGCUAUGUUUCUCCGUCUCACUUAUGAGAAUGUCCUGUGAUAGUCGGACAUAUACCAACAUAAAGAUACUUCAUCUACUACCUUUAUAUUAUGCAACUGUAGAAGACAGUCCGUUUUGUCCUAACUUGUUCUUGACCAACUUAUGCCAGUUACUGUGGAAGGCGUAAAUUUAUGAGUAUAGUUUGAGUAUUUGUUCCAAAACUUUCUUUAGAAUUAAAAAUCAAUGGUGUUGACUCUGGUCAAUAAGACCCUUGUUCUUCUCUUUUUCCACUCCCCUCUCCAUCCUUUUAAAAAUAGGCAUUUUCAAAAUGCCAGUAACUUAAAAUUCUCAAAUAUAACUAUUGCUAUUACUUUUGAGCCUGCUUCAGCCAAGUUUUAACAUUUUAUAGUGAAGUUUUUUGGACCCAGGUAACCUGCAAGCACCUAGUUUAAGGAAGCUUCUAAUCUAACCCAUUCCUUUCUUUUGCUAGGCUGAGAUCUCACUCCUUUGUCGAUGAUACAAAUAUAACUGCUUGCAGUUGCCCUCAUCAGUGGAGACUGAAACCAUCAAACAGUUCAUUCUUAACACCAUCAGCUGUCUGUCCCACGGCUCCGAGUGCUUGAUCAGGACCUAAGUGAGGAAACGCACCACCAAAUCAAAGGCAAAUUUUAUGCUUUUACAUGCAUUACAGGAAUGACUGUUUGUACUUCAGAUUGCAAGGACAGCUUCCUCCUUAAAGAAUUUGCAGUCUGUAUAUCGUCAAAAAGCAGAGAAGGAUUAUCCAAUGUGAGAUUUGCCCAGUUGUGAUUGUGAUGGGAGCCUCAGUGUUCCUUGAGUCCAAAUCCAGGGCCUUUCUGACUGCACCAGUCUGACUACUCAAUUUGAGAAGUGAUGCUUAAACUUGAUUUAUAAUGAAUUGCUAUCACUUUUGAAAAAAUCAGGCAGACUUUGCUGACUUCAGAGAAUUGUACUGUAAUGUUUUGAUGGGGAAGUGAAAAUGCUGCUAGCUUUUUCUAAAAUAGCCUGGCAUGCAAACUGUUGCAAGGAGAAGUAAUGAGCUACUGCUGUACACCGAAGUCUGUAUGUAACACCAUACAUAGCGCAUGAGCCUUAAGGACUCAAAUUUUCUCCCCAGUGUUAAAAAUUAAUUUGCAUUUUGUGACUGAAUUCUAGUGAUGGGGAAAUUAGGCUAUUGCAUGGUUACAUCUUAUUAAAUGAUUAAUGUGAUAUUUAAGUGAAAAUGGUAUGUUUUCUCAACACUUGGCUGAAGACUUUGUUAGGGAAUAUUUCCCUUAUAAUGUGCAGCAAUGAAAGGGCACAAAAUAAAUACUUUGGCAUUUGCCAGAUUUCUGGAAA